UCGGGAAUUUUGGGCAAUGGGCGAAAGCCUGACCCAGCAACGCCGCGUGAGGGAUGAAGUAUUUCGGUAUGUAAACCUCGAAAGAAUGGGAAGAAUAAAUGACGGUACCAUUUAUAAGCUCCGGCUAACUACGUGCCAGCAGCCGCGGUAAUACGUAGGGAGCAAGCGUUGUUCGGAUUUACUGGGCGUAAAGGGCGCGUAGGCGGCGCGGUAAGUCACUUGUGAAAUCUCUGAGCUUAACUCAGAACGGCCAAGUGAUACUGCUGGGCUAGAGUGCGGAAGAGGCAACCGGAAUUCUUGGUGUAGCGGUGAAAUGCGUAGAUAUCAAGAGGAACACCUGAGGCGAAGGCGGGUUGCUGGGCCGACACUGACGCUGAUGCGCGAGAGCCAGGGGAGCAAACG
rnacentral:rRNA from 1 species